rnacentral:rRNA from 1 species
CAACCAGACUCCUACGGGAGGCAGCAGUGAGGAAUAUUGGUCAAUGGCCGGAAGGCUGAACCAGCCAAGCCGCGUGAAGGACGAAGGUGCCAAGCAUUGUAAACUUCUUUUGUCAAGGGACAAAAUCAGGCUCGAGAGCCUGACCGAGGGUACUUGAAGAAAAAGCAUCGGCUAACUCCGUGCCAGCAGCCGCGGUAAUACGGAGGAUGCGAGCGUUAUCCGGAUUUAUUGGGUUUAAAGGGUGCGCAGGCGGAAGAUCAAGUCAGCGGUAAAAUUGAGGGGCUCAACCUCUGCGAGCCGUUGAAACUGGCGUUCUUGAGUGGGCGAGAAGUGCGCAGAAUGCGUGGUGUAGCGGUGAAAUGCAUAGAUAUCACGCAGAACUCCGAUUGCGAAGGCAGCGCACCGGCGCCCUACUGACGCUCAGGCACGAAAGCGUGGGUAUCGAACAGGAUUAGAUACCCUCGUAG